AAUGGGUCAGCGACUUAUAUUCUGUAGCAAGGUUAACCGAAUAGGGGAGCCGAAGGGAAACCGAGUCUUAACUGGGCGUUAAGUUGCAGGGUAUAGACCCGAAACCCGGUGAUCUAGCCAUGGGCAGGUUGAAGGUUGGGUAACACUAACUGGAGGACCGAACCGACUAAUGUUGAAAAAUUAGCGGAUGACUUGUGGCUGGGGGUGAAAGGCCAAUCAAACCGGGAGAUAGCUGGUUCUCCCCGAAAGCUAUUUAGGUAGCGCCUCGUGAAUUCAUCUCCGGGGGUAGAGCACUGUUUCGGCAAGGGGGUCAUCCCGACUUACCAACCCGAUGCAAACUGCGAAUACCGGAGAAUGUUAUCACGGGAGACACACGGCGGGUGCUAACGUCCGUCGUGAAGAGGGAAACAACCCAGACCGCCAGCUAAGGUCCCAAAGUCAUGGUUAAGUGGGAAACGAUGUGGGAAGGCCCAGACAGCCAGGAUGUUGGCUUAGAAGCAGCCAUCAUUUAAAGAAAGCGUAAUAGCUCACUGGUCGAGUCGGCCUGCGCGGAAGAUGUAACGGGGCUAAACCAUGCACCGAAGCUGCGGCAGCGACGCUUAUGCGUUGUUGGGUAGGGGAGCGUUCUGUAAGCCUGUGAAGGUGUGCUGUGAGGCAUGCUGGAGGUAUCAGAAGUGCGAAUGCUGACAUAAGUAACGAUAAAGCGGGUGAAAAGCCCGCUCGCCGGAAGACCAAGGGUUCCUGUCCAACGUUAAUCGGGGCAGGGUGAGUCGACCCCUAAGGCGAGGCCGAAAGGCGUAGUCGAUGGGAAACAGGUUAAUAUUCCUGUACUUGGUGUUACUGCGAAGGGGGGACGGAGAAGGCUAUGUUGGCCGGGCGACGGUUGUCCCGGUUUAAGCGUGUAGGCUGGUUUUCCAGGCAAAUCCGGAAAAUCAAGGCUGAGGCGUGAUGACGAGGCACUACGGUGCUGAAGCAACAAAUGCCCUGCUUCCAGGAAAAGCCUCUAAGCAUCAGGUAACAUCAAAUCGUACCCCAAACCGACACAGGUGGUCAGGUAGAGAAUACCAAGGCGCUUGAGAGAACUCGGGUGAAGGAACUAGGCAAAAUGGUGCCGUAACUUCGGGAGAAGGCACGCUGAUAUGUAGGUGAAGUCCCUCGCGG
rnacentral:rRNA from 1 species